GUGGCAAAAUGCGAGUUUGGAUUUGGGUUUUAGUGAAUAUGUUUAAGUUACUGACUUACUCUAAUUUACUUACAGACAGUAUCCCAUAAUUUAAAUUCCCAUCUGGUAAAUUAUUAAGUAAAGUACAUGCGACAUUUGUGGGUGUGGUGGGGUGUGUUGUGGCAUGGAUGUGUGGGGUGUGUGUGUGUGUGGAGCUGUGUAUUUGGAGGGUUGGGAUGGGCAGAGGGAGUGUCUAGGAAAGUCCAGUUUCUACUGCCAUUCAGUCGUUUUUUUUUUUUUUUUUUUUUUUUUUUUUUUUUUUUUUCCUGAGGCGGAGUUUUACUUUCGUUGCCCAGGCUAGAGUGCAAUGGUGUGAUCUCGGCUCACAGCAACCUCCACUUCACAGGUUCAAGUAAUUCUGCUGCCUCAGUCUCCCGAGUUAUAGGCGCCAACCACCAUGCCUGGCCAACUUUGUUUUUGUAUUUUUAGUAGAGAUGGGGUUUCAUCAUAUUGGCCAGGCUGGUCUCAAACUCCUGGCCUCAGGUGAUCCACCCACCUCGGCCUCUCAAAGUGCUGGGAUUACAGACGUGAUCCACCCACUUUGGCCUCCCAAAGUGCUGAGAUUACAGGCGUUAGCCACUGCACCCAGCCCCAAAAAACUAUUUUUAAAUGAACAUAUGAAAAUUGUAUAUGUUUAUCGCAUACAUGAUAGUUUAAAAUAUGUAUACAUUGUGGAAUGGCUAUAUUGAGCUAAUUACCACAUGCAUUACCUCACAUACUUUUUUUUUUGUGGUGAGAAUGUUUAAAAUCUCUACAUUUAAGAUUUAAGAAAGACUCUAAUUUUAAAUAAGAAUCCUGAGAAUUUAUACAGUAAGUGGUCAUUGGACCACACCUUUACGUUAAUAUAUUUGUUUCCUACUUCUUAGUGCUACGUAUUUCAUAAUUUCAAAAGCAGAAUAAAUAAUACUGAUAAUUUAAAAAGUCUACUCUUUCAGCAAUUUUCAAGAAUACAAUACGUUGUUGUUAACUAUAGUCACCAUGUUGUACAAUAGAUCUCUGGAAAUUAUUCCUCCUGUAUAAUUGAAACUUUGUACUCUGACCAUCAUCUCUCCCUCCCACUUCCCUCCAGUUCCCGGCAACCACCAUUCUACUUUCCACUUCUGAGUUCAACUCUUUUCGAUUCUACACUUAACUCAAAUCAUGCGGUAUUUGUCUCUCUGUGCUUGGCUUAUUUAACUUAACAUAAUGCCCUCCAGGUUCAUUGUCACAAAUGACAUAAUUUCCCUUUUCAUUUUAUUUUACUUUUAAUUUAAUUUUGUUUUUUGAGAUGGAGUUUCGCUCUGUCACCCAGGCUGGAGGGCAGUGGCGCAAUCUCAGCUCACUGCAAUCUCCACCUCCCAGGUUCAAGUUAUUCUCCUGCCUCAGCCCCCCAUGUAGCUGGGAUUACAGGUGCCCGUCACCACGCUCGGCUAUUUUUUGUGUUUUUAGUAGAGAUGGGGUUUCUCUCUGUUGGCCAGGCUGGUCUUGAACUCCUGAUCUCAGGUGAUCUGCUCCCUUUGGCCUUCCAAAUUGCUGGGAUUACAGGUGUGAGCCACCAGGCCCGGCCUAAUUUCCCUUUGUAAAGCCUGAAUGGCAUUCCAUUGUGUCUGUAUAGCAUGAUUUCUUUAUUCAUUCAUCUGUUGAUGGGCACUUAGGUUGUUUCCAUAGCUUGGCUAUUGUGACUAGUGGGCCAAUAAACACGGGAGUACAGAUAUCUCUUCGACUUGCUGAUUUUAUUUCCUUUGGAUAUAUACCCAGAAGUGAGACUGCUGGAUCAAAUAAUCAUUCUAUUUUUCAUUUUUUGAGGAACCUCCAUACUGUUCUUCAUGAUGGCUGUAGUAAUUUACAGUCCCAUCAACAGUGUGCAAGGGUGCCCUUUUCUCCACAACCUCUCCAAUACUUGUUAUCUUUUGUCUUACUGAUAAUAGCCAUUCUAAUGGGUGUAAAGUAAUAUUGCAUUGUGGUUUGAAUUUGCACUUCCCUAAUGAUCAGUGAUGUUGAACAUGUUUUCAUAUAUCUGAAGACCAAUUAUGUAUCUUUUUCUGAAAAAGAUCUAUUCAGGUCUUUUGCUUAUUCUUUUAGUUGAGUUAUUUGUUUUCUUGCUAUUGAGUUGUUUGAGUUCCUUACACAUUUUGGAUAUUAACCUCUUAUCAGAUGGGACUUUGCAAAUAUUUUCUCCCAUUCCAUAGAUUGUCUCAUCACUCUGUUGAUUGUUUCCUUUGCUGUGCAGAAGCUUGGUAGUUAUUGCCUGUGCUUCUGGGAUCAUAUGCACAAAAAUCAUUGCCAGACUAAUGUCAUGCAGUUUUUCCCUUAUUAUUAUUAUUUUUUUCUAGUCAUUUUACAGUUUUAGGUCUGUGUUUAAGUCUCUAAUUCAUCUUGAAUUGAUUUUGGGUAUGGUGUGAGAUAAGGAUCUAAUUUCAUUCUUCUGCAUGUGGAUACCCAGUUCUACCAACACCAUUGAUAUAGUUUGGAUAUGUGUACCCUCUAAAUCUCACGUUGAAAUGU
rnacentral:lncRNA from 1 species